AUGAAUAAACUUUGAGGAUGCUGCUGGCCUUGUCUUUUGGGAUGAGGCAGGUGCACUCCUUGAAUAUUCUUUUGACCACCUUUCACAAACCAUGUGCACCCUCUGUAGGUCUGGCCCUUUUGUUCCAAACCUAUGUUUUAGCCAUCUGCCCCAUGGAAUGUCAUUUGAAUGUUGGAUCUUCUUUGAUAAUACA
rnacentral:misc_RNA from 1 species